GUUUAAUUUGAUAAAUCGUAUACCCAUGGAACAAUUAACCUAGAGUCCAAUGUCUAUCCUACUGCUAAAAUCUUUAUGAAUCAAUGAAAUAAUGAACCCACACUCCAACGUCAGACUCUUCCACUUGCAUGCCCUCAAGUUUAUGACUUUAUAAUCUCCCAUGCUCAAGAAACAAGCAUUUUGAGUAUAUUAGUGGAUACAAUUUCUCCAAGUAAUUCACUGCAAACACCUUUGCUUGAAUUUCUUGGUCAGUAGUUUUUUUUUAUAAUAUUAAUUUCAACCUCUGUAAUAUCUCUGUCUUUCUCUAUAACUUCCUCAUUGACAUGAACUCCACUAAUUUGUAUUUUAUUAAGCUCUUUCUAAGUAGCCCCAUUAAUGUGAAUGACUUCAUCUCAACAGAUUCAUCUUGUGCCUUCCCCCUCAGUAUUUUGCUUAAAACCAAAGGCCACUGGUUAAUCUAUAUUUCAUUGUUUCCUUUAUCAAAUUGUUGCAUGUAUCCUAACUAAGUCAUUAAUUAUUUGACACAACGAGUUCUCUUGGGCUUGAGUAAUAAAAUUUUCACCCACAGAUUUUGA
rnacentral:misc_RNA from 1 species